CUACGGGAUGCAGCAGUCGGGAAUAUUGCGCAAUGGAGGAAACUCUGACGCAGUGACGCCGCGUAUAGGAAGAAGGUUUUCGGAUUGUAAACUAUUGUCGUUAGGGAAGAUAAAAGACAGUACCUAAGGAGGAAGCUCCGGCUAACUACGUGCCAGCAGCCGCGGUAAUACGUAGGGAGCAAGCGUUAUCCGGAUUUAUUGGGUGUAAAGGGUGCGUAGACGGGAAGACAAGUUAGCUGUGAAAUCCCUCGGCUUAACUGAGGAACUGCAACUAAAACUAUUUUUCUUGAGUGUUGGAGAGGAAAGUGGAAUUCCUAGUGUAGCGGUGAAAUGCGUAGAUAUUAGGAGGAACACCGGUGGCGAAGGCGACUUUCUGGACAAUAACUGACGUUGAGGCACGAAAGUGUGGGGAGCAAACAGGAUUAGAUACCCCUGUAGUC
rnacentral:rRNA from 1 species